AUGCUGGUUUCAGCAGCACCUGUGCUAACAUGGGAACCAUGCAAAAGAUUAACACAUCCCCUGCACAGGAUGACAUGCAGAUUUGUGAAACAUUCCAUAUUUUU
ensembl:snRNA U6 U6 spliceosomal RNA